rnacentral:rRNA from 1 species
GACAGAGGGUGCAAACGUUGUUCGGAAUUACUGGGCGUAAAGCGCGUGUAGGCGGCUAUGUAAGUCGGGCGUGAAAUCCCACGGCUCAACCGUGGAAGUGCACUCGAAACUGCAUAGCUAGAGUCCUGGAGAGGAAGGUGGAAUGCUUGGUGUAGAGGUGAAAUUCGUAGAUAUCAAGCGGAACACCGGUGGCGAAGGCGGCCUUCUGG